CGAGUAUUAUUUCCACUUAUGCAGAUACGCCAUUUUCUUCCAAUGUUUACCAAAUUAAUUUGCUACCAAAUCGGACUUAUUUCAUUGAAAAUUGGAUGAAAACACACACUCAUUGCAUCAAUAUACAUUAUUUUGUCUAUCAUAGUCCUGUCGUAUCACCGAGCAUCAUGCUAGAAGAGAAAACCAAAUUCAAGUGAUGACUUAUUCGUCGUCAAAGCACGUGCAAUGGUCCAAGGUAAAUCAAAGGAGUAAAAGAUCUCCAGAAGUAGAAAUGCUUUACUCGGGGAUCACUAGCUGUUUGAUGCGGUGGGGGAAAGUACAAAGAAACGACAGUAAACUUCUUCCAACUGUUUGAAUGGGCAUAUCGGAGAACUAAAUAUCGUCUACUGAAACUUGUUCGUAACUUGACAAAAUAUACUUAAAUAAACUUCCGACUCCGCUUGCAGAUGUCUCCAGAAUAAAACGCCAGAUUUAAUGUAAAAGUCUAUAUUUUGAAUGAAUGUUUGGUUUAUCAUGCUGUGUUCAUGUUUCAUGUAUGAUUUAUUGCAUAAUAAAGUUCUUCUUGUAUAUUACAAUUUUAGUUAUAUCCAGAAGGAGUACUGGUCACACCAUAUAUUUAUGUCUCCCAUACAAGGGGAGACAAUGUUUUUACCCUGUCCGUCCGUCAGUCCAUCUGUCACACUUGCCUUCUGCCCAAAAACUAGAGAUCCAUAUGACCAAGAGUAUUCAAACUUCAUAGGAUGAUUGG